UCUGGAUGUAGUUAAAUUGAGCUUAUACUGUCUGAACGUGAAGGUCUUAAUUAGCUCUAACUGAUU